rnacentral:SRP_RNA from 1 species
AUUCAGGUCCCAUGCAGAAUAACGUUGGCAAACCCCGCCAGAGCCGGAAGGCAGCAACGGUAGUCAAAGGUUGUCGUGCCGUGGUGUACCUGAAUCCU